AGAGUUUGAUCCUGGCUCAGGACGAACGCUGGCGGCGUGCUUAACACAUGCAAGUCGAACGAAGAGCGAUGGAAGCUUGCUUCUAUCAAUCUUAGUGGCGAACGGGUGAGUAACGCGUAAUCAACCUGCCCUUCAGAGGGGGACAACAGUUGGAAACGACUGCUAAUACCGCAUACGAUCUAAUCUCGGCAUCGAGGAUAGAUGAAAGGUGGCCUCUACAUGUAAGCUAUCACUUAUAGAUGGAUCCGCGCCGCAUUAGCUAGUUGGUAAGGUAACGGCUUACCAAGGCAACGAUGCGUAGCCGACCUGAGAGGGUGAUCGGCCACACUGGAACUGAGACACGGUCCAGACUCCUACGGGAGGCAGCAGUAGGGAAUCUUCCGCAAUGGACGAAAGUCUGACGGAGCAACGCCGCGUGAGCGAUGACGGCCUUCGGGUUGUAAAGCUCUGUUAAUCGGGACGAAAGGCCUUCUUGCGAAUAGUGAGAAGGAUUGACGGUACCGGAAUAGAAAGCCACGGCUAACUACGUGCCAGCAGCCGCGGUAAUACGUAGGUGGCAAGCGUUGUCCGGAAUUAUUGGGCGUAAAGCGCGCGCAGGCGGAUAGGUCAGUCUGUCUUAAAAGUUCGGGGCUUAACCCCGUGAUGGGAUGGAAACUGCCAAUCUAGAGUAUCGGAGAGGAAAGUGGAAUUCCUAGUGUAGCGGUGAAAUGCGUAGAUAUUAGGAAGAACACCAGUGGCGAAGGCGACUUUCUGGACGAAAACUGACGCUGAGGCGCGAAAGCCGGGGGAGCGAAUGGGAUUAGAUACCCCGGUAGUCCUGGCCGUAAACG
rnacentral:rRNA from 1 species